rnacentral:lncRNA from 1 species
AAAGCCAUGUCGAAACCGCCUACUCGAGUGUUUUUCCAGUUACCUGCCACCCACCCACCAACUCCCCUUGGACUUUAGUUUGGGCUAGAACCUGACAAUUGGCAUCACGAACAGGAUCCUAAGCGGCUGCAAGUGAGCAGGUGGUUAGUGGCAGCGCAAGGAGACCACACCCUGACUGAGUGGCUACAGGCAGCCAUAUGAACUGUGUGGAAUAAUGCUGGUGAAAUGCCCAAAACUAUUUAGAAGCAGUGGCACCCCUCUUGUGGCAACAUUUGGCAGCAUGCAGUUGGGCCAUCAACAAAUCCAAGGUCCGAGGGCCUGGAUUACCUGCUAAAUUCUUGGGAGUUAUCUGGUCGGGGCUGAAGUUCCAGGCUGGACCUGAUGCUCCAAACCUUGAAUGAAUGGCCAUGGAAAAGCAGCCCAGCCCAGGUGGAGGCUUUGUUACAUGGGCCACCACCCCUAUUCAGUUGCAGAUACACACCAAGGGUAACCGCCUCUGACCAGGUUAACAUGCUCCAACUGCAUUGUGGACUGGGCCCACACCUACACUGAAGUGACCAAUGUUUCCAACUGUUGGAUCUGCACCGCCCUUCUAGCAGCUGCAGAUGGCUUGCCUUAGCACAUACAUUCAGCAUCUGCAGAGAACCAGACAUGGCUGGAGACUUGGGGUCCCAUGGCUGAUGCCUGGAACGCAACGUGGCAAGUUUUGGACAAAGGAUGCCACAAGACCCACAGCACAGCCAUUCCCUGGCUGGCCCAUAGCAUUUAUGAUGGGUGGGGCUGGCUAGUGAGGUAACGUGCAGUACCCCUGGCCCAGGCACUGUGGUGCAUAUAGCAACACUGGGGUAAUAGCACUGUGGGAUGGGUACCCGUCACAGUGUGUGUAAGCAUAAUACAUGUCACCACACCAAAGGUAUGGUGGAAGACGCGGCCCCACCAAGGGGCCUCGAUGGACUGUGUGCCCCCUGGGAGUUUAUGGGUCUGUGGGGACACAGGGUGGCCUUACCUAUAAGCAAACUGGACUGGACAUUAUACCUGAGGGUGGCCUCAUGUACCUGCCACUGUUCUCACAUUGCCCAGAUGCCUGCAUAACUGGGAGGUGCUACACUCUCGGUUUUUGCAAGUGUAAUGAGCACCCUGGUGGUUUUACCCCUUGACAGGCACUAGCCCUGGAGUGUGUGUCACAACUGUAGAAGCCAAGUUACUGCUCUUGCAGAGCAUGCUGCUCAGGCUCUGAAUUACACCUGAGUGGCCCUCUUCCCAUUAAUGGAUGAGGUUGAUCAGAUCAGAAAGGUGGUGUUGCGAAACCGAAUGGUCUUAGACAUAGUAACUGCUGCCUAAGGAGGCACCUGUGCCCUUUUAGGAACACAAUGUUGUACCUUUAUCCCUGACAAUUGGCAGAACAUAACAGCAGCCCUGCAAGGGGUCUCACAGGAGAUUAAGGUAGUCAAGAGCCUUACUGAUGACCCCCUGCAGAGAUGGUAGACAUCCCUGGGCUCUGGCCUACGCUGGGCCCUGAUAGUCAUAAGUAGCAUAGCUGGAAUCCUAGUCGUGAGCUGUUGCUCUCCGUAUUGUUGCUGUGGAUUAUGGAUUCAGGGCUCCACCCUACGGGCACAUGUCCCUACCUGGAGGAUGCCCCUGGCCUAGGGGUGGAGUGUAAGGAAGAUGGCUGCGCUUUAGUCAGGAGCAGGCUGAGGCCACUUUUUGGUGCACCAUGACUCAGUGGGUUUGGAGCGUAGGCACACGACUCCGCACAUUAUGAACCAUGCCACUUGAGGUGCAUUAGGUGACCACUCACGUGAGCUCGUGAUUGCUUCAGAGCCUCUAUUGUCUGUAAAAGGUAUAAUUACCCUGCUGACACUGGACAUAUGGCUCGUGCCCAGAGAGAGGAUAAGGCCAUGUUCAAACUGCCUAUGAUUCCUCGGGUGUUUUUUCAGCUACCCCUCACCCACCCACCAACUCCCUUCGGACUUCAGUUUGGGCUAGAACCUUACACCCACAUAAACUAAAGCUGUAUGGGGUCCUCAGUUUUCAAGCACAUAAAAGUAUUCUGUAUCCAAAAAGUUUGUGAACCACUGCCCUAGAGAAACUUUCCAUGGCGUGCAAGAUGUAUGUAAGAAUGCCCAGUAGAGACAUAAUAAGAAACCAGAAAAAGUGGAAAUCUCAAUGCCUGUCAUCAAGAGAGAUAAAUGCAGCGUGGUCUAUUUCUGUUCUCCUCACAUUGCCCAGAUGCCUGCUUAACUGGGAGGCGUUAUGUUCUCAGUUUUUGCAAGUGUCAUAAAGGAGUGAAUGGAGCAUUACCUGUCAUUAUAGACACUGCAAAAUGAGCUAGUAGCAGGAUUUUUACCACAGGUACCCAUAAGCAACAUGUGGCAUGGUUCACCAUGGUUUUACAUUGUUGUGUAAAUAACUUAAAAUUAUGUGAAUAAUGUAAAAGCAUGGUGAACAAUGCCAUGUUUUGCUUAUGGGUACCUGCGGUAAAAAGCAAAAAUCAUGACCCUGAAGGGGUGAGCAGGCCUACAGGUGCUGGGCAGGCACUGUCUUGCAAAGAGCACAAAAUGUGCAGGUCCCUCUGGGAGUGUUAUAGUGGGUAGCUAGUCAGAAAGAGCAGGGCAGGAGAGGGCUCCCCAUACCCCACACACCAGGAGUGUCAGGUGACCAUCAGGUGAUGGUCUGGCGGUUGUUGACUGUCUUUCUAAAGUAAUAAUUGGUCACACCCGGCAACAGGGAAAAGCCGGCUCCUAAUAGAUAGAAAACACUCGAAACUGGUGAGCAGUAGUUUCCCUAUAAGAUCUCAGGAGUUGAGCCAGUGGGCUCAGGCAGGCACAUGGGACAGCCCACCCCAAGGGAAGAACCAGGGGAGAAAUAACGCAAGACCCCGAAAGCAUGCUGACGUAUAAAACCCCAAGUCAAAAGGUCAAACCACGCACUUGCUUUUUAAGUCGUCCACUUGGCCCUCUUCCAAGUGUACUUUCCUUCCUUUUGUUCCUAUUCUAAAGCUUUUAAAUAAACUUUUACUCCUGUGCUAAAACUUG